CGUGAGUGAAGAAGGCCUUCGGGUUGUAAAGCUCUUUUGUCCGGAACGAAAAGGUUACGGUGAAUAUCCGUGACUACUGACGGUACCGGAAGAAUAACCACCGGCUAACUACGUGCCAGCACCCGCGGUAAUACUUAUGGUGCUAGCGUUAAUCUGAAUUACUGGGCGUAAAGCGUGCGCAAGCGGUUUUGUAAGCCAGAUGUGAAAUCCCCGGGCUUAACCUGGGAAUGGCAUUUGAGACUGCAAGGCUGGAGUUUGGCAGAGGAAACUGGAAUUCCUGGUGUAGCAGUGAAAUGCGUAAAUAUCACGAGGAAUACCGAUGGCGAAGGCAAGUCUCUGGGCUAUAACUGACGCUCAUGCACAAAAGCGUGGGGAGCAAACACGAUUAAAUACCCUGGUAGUCCACGCCCUAAACGAUGUCCACUGGUUGUUGGGAGUUUGACACUCUCACUACCGAAGCUAACCCGUGAAGUCGACCGCCUGGGGAGUACGGCCGCAAGGUUAAAACUC
rnacentral:rRNA from 1 species